rnacentral:rRNA from 1 species
CACGUAGGGGGCUAGCGUUGUCCGGAAUCAUUGGGCGUAAAGAGCGUGUAGGCGGCUUGGUAAGUCCGCUGUGAAAGUCCAGGGCUCAACCCUGGAAUGCCAGUGGAUACUGUCAAGCUAGAGUCCGGAAGAGGCGAGUGGAAUUCCUGGUGUAGCGGUGAAAUGCGCAGAUAUCAGGAGGAACACCAAUGGCGAAGGCAGCUCGCUGGGACGGUACUGACGCUGAGACGCGAAAGCGUGGGGAGCGAACAGG